UACGUAGGGGGCAAGCGUUGUCCGGAUUCAUUUGGGCGUAAAGAGCGUGUAGGCGGCCAGGUAGGUCGGUUGUGAAAACUGGAGGCUCAACCUUCAGAGGUCGACCCGAAACCAUCUGGCUAGAGUCCGGGAGAGGAGAGUGGAAUUCCUGGUGGUAGCGGUGAAAUGACGCAGAUAUCAGGAAGAACACCCGUGGCGAAGGCGGCUCUCUGGGACGGUACUGACGCGAGACGCGAAAGCGUGGGGAGCGAACAGG
rnacentral:rRNA from 1 species